rnacentral:lncRNA from 1 species
CUAUGACGUCUGGUUGAAGUUUUCCUCCUCUCCGUUGGUGUCGAUAAACGUGAGUCUCCCUUUCGUCCUAUGACGUCUGGCUGAGUUUUCCUCCUCUCCGUUGGUGUCGAUAAACGUGAGUCUUCCUAUUCGUCCUAUGACGUCUAGUUGUAUCUGUCCCCUUGUGGAUUUACCUCUCCGUUGGCCUUGGUAAACGUUGAGUGUUUCCUAGUUGCCCGUUGGCAUCUAGUUGUGAGUUCUUUUCCCAUUCAUCGUCAUUGCGAUGUCUGGAUGUGGCCGUACCUUUUGAAAACAAAAAAAAAACAACAAAAAUACCCAGUAAUAAGAAUCAAAUCCCAG